UCAUCUAUUAUUUGUUUCUUGUCUUUGCUCAAUCAGCAUAUAAGAGAGUACGAAUUCCAUCUGCCGUGUUCACAGCGCCAUCCCCAGAACCUACAACAGUGUCGGCUUCUAGUAGGUGAUCGCUAAAUAUUUUUUGAGUAAAUAAACGAAUGACUCAUGUCGUGCUGGAGGGGGACUGUGGGACAAGCAUCCAGGAGGACUGGAGAUCUCCAGGAGGGACGUCUGAGCAAACAAGAAUGUCCCACACGUGGAGGUCACUAAGCCCAGGCUGUGUCUGAGAUGGUUCUAAGAGAGUAAGAGAGAAUGCACAGAAAGAAACCGGAUCACCUCCUAUGCCCCCAGCGCCUGCACAAAGCCUGGCACACAGCAGGUGUUGCGUGUUGGUUGACUGAAUUAAUAGAUGAACCUGCUCUUCGGCGAGGAGUGAGACUUCCUGUGCAUAAGGGGCUCGAGCAGGAAGACAGCUGGCCGAGAGCGUGCGCUGGGGUCCAGAAGGUUGCCUCAGCUUCACAGGUCACUGCAGGGGCUGCCCCGGAGCCCACUGAACCCAGUUGUAUUAACCAUUUGGUGGCUGACAAGGAGCUGAUCUUGGGUCCUGAAGAAAGGAAUGGAUGGAUCUUGGCCCAGGACAGCUGCUGUGAAAGGUCCCUUUAGACGAGAGAAGCCACACCCAUUCACUUACUGGACCCAGGCUGGUGGUGGAGUCAUAAAAGUGGCCCUGGACCCAGAAGAGGAGGCCAUGCCCAGACGCACUACCAUCAGCCAGGGGCGUUGAGAUUCCGUCCCAGGACAAUGAUCAUCAGCCUGACUUCCGAUUCUGAUUCAGGGAGUUAAUGGCAAAGCUGAGACUGGAGGCUGGGCCACUGGACCUUUCUACAAGAUCCUUCCAGUCUCUCCUUGAUCUUGACUUUGUUAACAUUUUAACUCUUUCAUAACUGUUUGCAGAGGAUCAGAAAGACAGAGCCCACACUGUGUGCCUGGGCUUGUGCCCCUUGCAGAUACGGGUGGUCCUGCAGGCAACAUGAUCUUCUCAGGGCACUUUGAGUGGACUUCGGGUCAGAGGGAACAACGCUGGCUAACGGGGCUGUUACUCUGUACUGGGCCCUGGGCCAGAUGCUUCAUGUGCAUUAACUCACUGGAUCCUCACAACAGUAUCCCCACUGUGCAGAUGAAAACGCCGAGGCACAGAGAGGUUAUGUAAUUUGCCCAUGGUCACACAGCUAGUGAGUGGUGAAGCCAGGAUCAAACCCAGGCAGUCUGGCGCCUCAGCCUGAGCUCUUCCCAUCACUCCAGAGAGCCUGUGCCAGGUCUUGGGAAACAGGCAGGGAAUAGUCUGUUGAUGUUUCCUGGGUGCCCUGCUGCCACUGCCCUGGCUCAGCCCACAUCUCUCGCACCUGACCGCAUUCCAGCCUCUCCACUGAGUACCAUGGCUGUAGCGUAGCCCACCCAACCAUCCGCUACUCCCGCCUGCAGGACCAUGCCAACACAGAGAGCCUCCUGACACGACACUCCCGUUGUUCCUCCCCAGCCCUCUUUAAUGGCUCCCAAUUGUCUGAUUUCUGGGUGUUCCCAACCCAUCUAGUCUGAUCUCCCACCACACCUUUCAUGGAUCCUGACAGCCAAACAAGGAUUUACCAACUUGUUCAUACAACACUUUUCCCACCUUCCAGCCUUUAUCCAAGCUGUUCUUCCUGCCUGGAAUGCCUGUUCUCACCCGCCCAUGGCUCUUUCAUGACUGCUUCCCAGGCCCUGUGCUUGGCAGGUGCUCACCAACGGGAUACUAUGUGUCCAUGUUGCUUUGUUGCAGAGGAAUUUUUAUUUUUUCUCUUUCUGGAUCCUAAAAAGAAUACAAGUUCACAUUAGAAAAUCUGGAAAAUUGAGACAAUCUCUCAGAGAAAAAUUAAAGAUAGCCUGAAAUCCUACAUCCACUGUCAAUAUUUUGAUAUAUAUCUUUUCAAUCUUUCUUUUCAUUUUUAAUAUUGUGAAAUAUUUCAAACACAGACAGAAUGGAGAAUAAUAUAACAUUCUCUGGUGCAUCCACCUUUUCUUUUAUCAACCCAGUAGUUUUUCUUUUCUUUUUUUUUUAUUAUUAUACUUUAAGUUUUAGGGUACAUGUGCACAA
ensembl:lncRNA novel transcript